rnacentral:rRNA from 1 species
AGAGUUUGAUCAUGGCUCAGAGUGAACGCUGGCGGCGUGCCUAACACAUGCAAGUCGAACGAGAACGGAUUACAGCUUGCUGUAAUUGUCAGCUAAGUGGCGCACGGGUGAGUAAUAUAUAGUUAAUCUGCCCCAAAGAAGAGAAUAAUUGUUGGAAACGACUUGUAAUGCUCUAUAUGCCUUUAUCACAUAAGUGAGCAAGGGAAAUAUUUAUAGCUUUGGGAUGAGACUGUACGGUAUCAGCUAGUUGGUGAGGUAAUGGCUCACCAAGGCAAUGACAUCUAACUGGUUUGAGAGGAUGAUCAGUCACACUGGAACUGAGACACGGUCCAGACUCCUACGGGAGGCAGCAGUGGGGAAUAUUGCACAAUGGAGGGAACUCUGAUGCAGCAACGCCGCGUGGAGGAUGACACAUUUCGGUGCGUAAACUCCUUUUAUAUGAGAAGAUAAUGACGGUAUCAUAUGAAUAAGCACCGGCUAACUCCGUGCCAGCAGCCGCGGUAAUACGGGGGGUGCAAGCGUUACUCGGAAUCACUGGGCGUAAAGAGCAUGUAGGCUGUAGAUUAAGUUGGAAGUGAAAUCCUAUGGCUCAA